rfam:Myotis lucifugus cont2.21453, whole genome shotgun sequence.
GGAUGUGAGGGCGAUCUGGCUGCGAUAUCUGUCACCCCAUUGAUCGCCAGGGUUGAUUCGGCUGAUCUGGCUGGCUAGGCGGGUGUCCCCCUCCUCCCUCACCGAUCCAUGUGCGUCCCUCCUGAAGCUGCGCGCUUGGUCGAAGAGGACGACCUUCCCCCCCCAGGAGAGGACCGGUCUUCGGUCAAGGGUAUACGAGUAGCUGCGCUCCCCUGCUAGAACCUCCAAACAAGCUCUCAAGGUCCAUGAUGAGAGAGAAUCAUUGAAAAGCAGCCUCCCCAAUGCCCCCUACUGGGGAUUGAGCCUGCCACCUGUA